rnacentral:rRNA from 1 species
UACGUAGGGUGCAAGCGUUGUCCGGAAUUAUUGGGCGUAAAGAGCUCGUAGGCGGUUUGUUGCGUCGGCUGUGAAAACCUGAGGCUCAACCUCAGGCCUGCAGUCGAUACGAGCAGACUAGAGUGUUGCAGGGGAGACUGGAAUUCCUGGUGUAGCGGUAAUAUGCGUAGAUAUCGGGAGGAACACCAGUGGCGAAGGCGGCUCUCUGGGGUAUUUCUGACGCUGAGGCACGAAAGCCAGGGGAGCGAACGGG